CAGUAGGUAGGAUGCCCAAGAAGGAUCCAUGUCCAAGGAGAGGAGGCGGCAACAAAGAGAGAAAUGUAGAAGAUGAAGGACCUCUCUCUUCACACACCUGUAUCUCUCUCUUUUUCUCUUCUCUUAAUUUGAUUUGUUUGCUAUUAUAUUCUCUUCUCUCAUCCAUAGGUAGAGACCUUCUCUAUUUAUAGAUGAUUCUCAUGACCCAAUGAGAGGAGGACUCUUUAUUCAAAUCUGAUUUGAAUUGAUCCAAUACUCAUG
rnacentral:lncRNA from 1 species